rnacentral:rRNA from 1 species
AGCAACGAAUAUUCCGCAAUGGGCGAAAGCCUGACGGAGCGACGCCGCGUGCAGGAUGAAGUCUUUCGGGAUGUAAACUGCUGUCAGGGGUAAGGAAAAUCUGACCGAACCCACAGGAAGCCUCGGCUAACUCCGUGCCAGCAGCCGCGGUAAGACGGAGGAGGCAAGCGUUGUUCGGAAUCACUGGGCUUAAAGAGCGUGUAGGCGGGGCGGCAAGUAUCUUGUGAAAACCCUCGGCUCAACCGAGGAACUGCAGGGUAUACUGCCGCUCUUGAGUCAAGCAGGGGCAUCUGGAACCCUAGGUGGAGCGGUGAAAUGCGUUGAUAUCUAGGGGAACGCCCGUGGCGAAAGCGGGGUGCUGGGCUUGUACUGACGCUGAGACGCGAAAGCGUAGGGAGCAAACGGGAUUAGAUACCCCGGUAGUCUACGCCGUAAACGAUGCGCACUAGGCUUGAGGUUUCUGACGAACUUUGAGCCGAAGCAAAAGUAUUAAGUGCGCCGCCUGGGGAGUACGGCCGCAAGGCUAAAACUCAAAGGAAUUGACGGGGGCUCACACAAGCGGUGGAGCAUGUGGAUUAAUUCGAAGCAACGCGAAUAACCUUACCUGGGUUUGACAUGUGCGGAUGCCCUUGGGGAAACUCGAGUAGGCUGCCUUCGGGUGAAACGUGCACAGGUGCUGCAUGGCUGUCGUCAGCUCGUGCUGUGAAGUGUCGGGUUAAGUCCCUUAACGAGCGAAACCCUUAUCGUUAGUUACCAGCGGGUCAUGCCGGGGACUCUAGCGAGACUGCCGGUGUUAAACCGGAGGAAGGUGGGGAUGACGUCAAGUCCUCAUGGCCCUUAUGCCCAGGGUGUCACACGUGCUACAAUGGGGCGUACAGAGCGAUGCAAUACCGCGAGGUGGAGCAAAUCGCACAAAAGGUCCCUUAGUUCGGAUUGGAGUCUGCAAUUCGACUCCAUGAAGCUGGAAUCGCUAGUAAUCGCGCAUCAGCCAUGGCGCGGUGAAUAUGUUCCUGAGCCUUGUACACACCGCCCGUCAAGUCAUGGAAGCUGGGAGCACCCGAAGUCCGUUUGUCAACCGCAAGGGGACGGCGGCCGACGGUGAGCUCGGUAACUGGGACU